UGGGAUCCUGCAUCGCACAUGUGGCUAGAGAUGAGCAUUCCAACAGUGGGACUAUUGCUCCCCAACAUGCACGUCAGGACCUGCAUUGCACGUGUGGCUGAUCCAGUCAUACGCAUAGACUGACAUCCUAACACACCUCCCAAAGAGUACAUGUGUGCCCUGAUGGGUCCCAAAAACCAACUUUAAUUCUUUUCCAUAAUUCCGUCAUCCUUUCCAUGUCGAACCAAGGGAAAGGUAUAACAAAUGGUGUGUAGCCACAUAAAUCCCAUAUCCCAAAAUAUAUCCAAAUUCCAUAAACAUAACCCAUAUCACCAUAGUCUGAAACCCAAAUCCAUAUACUUUAAUAAUAAUAAUAAAUAAAAAAAUAAUCCCUGAAAAUCUCAUAUCACAUUGUCAAAGCCAAGACUAGCUCGAGAAUGAAAUCCCACAACCUCAUUAACCCAAAAUAAACCAUUUUUCAAUGAAAUCACAUUUAUGCAAGCAAUUCUUCAGUUGCUAACUCGAUUGAAUCUUGGGUUGGUUUUGUAGAGGAGGACGAGAGGAAGAUAUUUCGUAAAGAUUGCGAUGGCAACUGAGGUCAGACGGAGCCAAAAUUUGAAGUAGAAGCGGCGGUGCCACUGUUCACCGGGGGGGAGAGAGAGAGAGAGAGAGAGAUAACCAGAAAAAAAAAAUAAAAAGAAAAGAAAAACAAAAAAAGGAAUUGGGUCUGAACUUUAAAUUGGGAAUUUGCAAUAUUUAUGGUUGUACCACUGCACUUAUAUAUAUCAUAACUUCUCCAUUUUAAAUCGGAAUUGAGCAUGUCGCCUAUCUACGAACUCGUAUUCACGAGUUCUAUGCAACGGUGCUACUCAAUUCCCCAAAUUCCUUUCUGAACAAAAAGUGACUAAAGUGCCCCUACCUUCAAGGGUUUACAUUGCACAAUUAAAUAAUUAAAUAAAAAUAAUUUGUUGGGUCGGGGUGUUACACAAGGACAUGUCUGAUCAACACAAAACCUAUCUUUUUU
rnacentral:lncRNA from 1 species